rnacentral:lncRNA from 1 species
CAGAGCUCGGGAAAAGGGGGUGCAGCAUCCCCGGGGCUCGCAGGGCAGGGAACACCUGGAGAGCUUGUCCUGAGACGAGGGACAGAGGGGAAAUGCCGAGGUUUUGGUGUUUUAAAGCAGCAGGGCAAAUACUGGCCCAGGAAAGCCCAGCUCCAGUGGGAUUCUCCCCAAAACGGGAGGGCCUGGGUCCCCCCUUGGCUGGUGCAUGGCAGAUUGAGGGUGCUGAGGUUUGGGGGGUGCCUGGUACUGCUCGCAUGUCCCUUGCCAGGGAAAAGCCGCUCUGGUGGUGGCCAUAGGGCCCAGGGGCUGUGCAGGGGGUGCCGGGGACCUGCAGGGCUCGGGACAUCCGCGGGGGAACAUCCCCGGCACCUUCACCUCCUCUCUCUGCCCGCAGCAAGCUGACCCGGGAGAGCGGGACAGACUUCCCCAUCCCCGUGAUCCCCCCGGUGCCGGACAUGGAGACGGAGAAGCUGAUCCGGGAGAAGGAUGAGGAGCUGCGGCGGAUGCAGGAGAUGCUCCAGAAGAUCCAGAAGCAGAUGAAGGACUCGCACUAGCCCGUCCCUCCUCCUCCUCCUCCUCCUCCUCCUCCUGGCCCCGAUCAGAAAUGUUUACAUCACGCUCCACCCGCCCGGCCCCGCUGCCAGACUCGGCCAGACCCCCCAUCCCACCAUGGACCCUCUUAGCAACAAGGGAAUGGAAAAUGUUGGUGCUUCCUUGGCUGGGAGCAGCUCUCAGCCAAGGGCUGGGAUACAGAAACCUCCCACAUCCCACCACUGCAGCUCCACAGAGGAUCCCCUGGGUGAUUCUCCUCCCCAGAAGAGCCAAUAGAGCCUCUGCUUUUGGCCCCAGACUGGCUGAUUUCCCCUUUUCCCCUUUUCCCAGGGGAUAAACCCCAGCACUGAUGCUCCAGUGACAGCCCCAGCUGUGCUCACCCUUCCCUGCAAUCCAUUCCAUGUGAUUUUCAUCACACCUUUAAAAAUAAAAUGCCCCAAACCCACUCA